rnacentral:rRNA from 1 species
GACGAACGCUGGCGGCGCGCUUAACACAUGCAAGUCGAACGGAAAGACUUUGUUCACGCGGGGCGUUUGAGUGGCGAACGGGUGCGUCACACGUGAUUACCCAGCCUUUGAAUCUAGACUGACUUCAGGAAAUUAGGGAUAAUACAGGCUAGGAGCUCCUGCUGGGUGGCGGGGGUAGGAAAGUUGUGGCGGUUGGGGAUGGACUCGCGGCUUAUCAGCUUGUUGGUGGGGUAGUGGCUUACCAAGGCGUCGACGGGUAUCGUGCCCGGGAGGGUAACCGGCCACACUACGACUGGGAUACGGCACAGACUCGAACGCGACGCAACGGUGGAGAAGAUGGCACAACGGGCGGAAGCAUGACGCAGUGACGCCGCGUGCGGGAUAACGGGCUUCGGGUUGGAAACCGCUUUCGCCUGUGACGAGGCGUGAGUGACGGUAAUGAGUAAAGAAGCACCGGCUAACUACGUG